rnacentral:antisense_RNA from 1 species
CUUGAUCGACCCCAGCCACAACGGCGUCUCGCGGCCCUGCCCGUACGUCGCCAGCAACGCCUGUGCCUC